rnacentral:rRNA from 1 species
AAUAGAUACCCCGGUAGUCCACGCCCUAAACGAUGUCUACUAGUUGUUGGUGGAGUAAAAUCCAUUAGUAACGCAGCUAACGCGUGAAGUAGACCGCCUGGGGAGUACGGUCGCAAGAUUAAAACUACAAAGGAAUUGACGGGGGCCCGGCACAAGCGGUGGAUUAUGUGGAUUAAUUCGAUGCAACGACGAAAAACCUUAACCUGGCCUUGACAUGCCACUAACGAAGACAGAGAUGCAUUAGGUGCCGGAAACGGGAAAGGUAGGACACAGGUGCUGCAUGGCGUGUCGUCAGCUCGUGUCGUGAGAUGUUGGGUUAAGUCCGCACGAGCGCACCUCGCAAUAAUUGCAUCAUCUAGUUGGUCUACUUAUUGG